UUCCGCCACGUCAGCUGCUCCUUUAAAAUGAAAUUAUUCGUGAAAAACGCAAGUGAUUUGGGCUGCAUAACUUUUAUUUGCCCGAUUUUUCAGGCCCACGUUAGAGUUACUCUUUCGUUGCAUUAGGUCUUCACUUCGACGGAGGCGGUCACGCUUGCGCUUCCCUUUCAUCUUCCCAAUCACGUCAGGCUCACCUGAAAUGUCAAUCAAUAACGUUAUCUCAUUACACUACUACAUAGUCUCCAAUUCUUCUUUAAUUUCUCAUUUAGUCUCGCGGAUGCAUAUAUACAAACCAAAACAAAGACGAAAUCCUAUUCAUUUCGACCGUGGCGUCUUCUCAAGUUCAGUUCUUGGAGCGUACCGUUGCAAGCAGAUGGUUCACACCAGACUCCUGCGAUUUUAGGAAAACCGGAAUGUCAAGAAAGAUGGAGAGAUGAUGGGAAUUGACAUGUUCCUUAUAGAUGUGAAGGCAACGCUCAUUCAGUCCUCAAUCAAUUAUCAUAGACUUAACACAUUCAAACACCUUUUGAAUGAAUGCUCACUUUAUGAGCUCAUUGUUUUGUGAUGCUCUUGUCGCUGUUAGAUUCACUGAACAAACAUGAGGAACAUAUUCUCUCGAAAGCCCAGACUUCAUGGCCACCUCUCACCAGGUACUAUCUCCUUGAUGAACAUGUACCUUUAUAUUAAACUUCCACACACAAAAUCAGUCUCUUCUCUUUGUGAGAAAACGUUCUGGUAUAAAACCAAGACAUCUUCUCUAAAUCAACAAAUCGAUUUGCUGUCAUUCAAAAACGCCACAGCCUCUUUAUUUCUUUUAUUACUAUUUACAAAAUGUUCUCUUUUAAUUUUUGUUUUCCUGCUACUUUCAUUCUACCGCCGCUACACUGACCAAUGUGGAUGUUCCAUCUCUAUCUAUAUAUAUUUGUUUUUCUUAUGAUGAUGAUCUGAUAAUGGUUUCUCUUGCUGGUUUACAUGCACCGAAGAAAUAAAAAGUCCCACUACCAUCGUAUGUGUUUGUUUUUUCUAGCUUUGAAAAAAUAUAAUUCAGUGGGAUUGGAUAUAUAGUUAUAAUCUUUAUUAUCAGUUACUGUUUUUCUUCGGCAGGUUUGAAUAUCAAUUAUCAUUUAUUAGUAAUGUUUUGUAGCCUAACGUUUUCAACUUUUCCCUCGCGAAGCUUAUAUGGUGUGCUUAGUUUUAAAAAAAAACACUGGCUUGGUAUUAACUCGAUGGGUUUCAGUAACAUAUUAUUAUUUUUGCAUCAUUCUAGCUUGUGACUAAAUGAUAUUAUUUUCAAUUCGUUGGCACACAGAUGUUGUAGUAGGAAAUUAAUAAGCGUUUGGUCUCAUGCGUUUUCAUUCAAAAGAGUACCAUGAUUAGCUACUCCGUUGUGUCGUGGGCGUGUACGGCAUGGCCAAACGGCUUAAAUAUCUCAUGGUAAAGACAUUGCUACUCUUUAUCUGUUUAGAUGUGACAUGGUAGCGAAUUGGGUGGAGCAGGAAGCUCAAGUGGCAGGGUGUCAUUCUACGUCUUCAGCAGACACGUAUCUAGGGAGGAAGAGGAAGCGAGAGAACGAAGGGAAAUGGGGUCUAGACCUGCUAAGCAAGAAACUUCAAGGAAUGGGUAUGAUUUGGACCUGAUUAGGUUUAUAGAGUCGCAACUGCAGUAUGAAAUCUUUAAGUGUUUGAGAUACUAAAUACGUAGAACAAACAUGAGUUUUGUUUUGUACUGAAAGAAGAGUUAUUUGUUUGUUAGUUUCCUUUACUUUUCGGUUUGCUAUGUUGACCGACUUUCGUUUGGUUCAUUAUUUGUCUUAUGUAACUUUUUGUUUUAAACUUGAUGAGUAUCUUAUGUCAUGUGUUCCACUUAAUGAA